UAUUUUCUUCAACUCCAAAGAAUUCUUCUCCUGGAAGGACUGCUAUUCUGACAUACCAAAAAUGUGCUUUCUUAUAUUGGUUGGCCAACGAUAGCUGAAGCCUUCCUCUGGUGUUCACUCUGAACUGUCUCUUCUUGGAAAUAACUGUUGGUCCUUUCCAUCAGAGGUUUCUAUGGGGUUUCUGAUUCUGGAGUCUGGAGGUUGGGAUGAAGAAUUUGCAGUUCCCGGCUGCUGCUGCCGCCGUGGCUGGUCCAGCAGCACACUUUGAGAAGCACUGUACUAGAGAGGUCUUCCUAAAACAGUCAUUUAACAAACGUCUGUUGAGGACCCGCUGUUAAAGACGACAGACACAGCCCCUGGCCUCGUGGAAUGGGUGGUCUAUCCUUGCCUUUAGAGACUGAUGAGAGAGAUGUGAAAUGAAGACAGUCAGCCCAAAGUGGUGAACCAUCCGGGCAGAAUUGCUGAUAGAGGGUUAUAGGGACCACAUGUGCAAAGCUUCCAUAAUUG